rnacentral:rRNA from 1 species
CCUACGGGAUGCAGCAGUGGGGAAUCUUGCGCAAUGGGCGAAAGCCUGACGCAGCGACGCCGCGUGGGUGACGAAGGCCUUCGGGUCGUAAAACCCUGUUGCAGGGAAGAAGAAGUGACGGUACCUGAGGAGGAAGCCCCGGCUAACUACGUGCCAGCAGCCGCGGUAAUACGUAGGGGGCAAGCGUUGUCCGGAAUCACUGGGCGUAAAGGGCGCGUAGGCGGUAUAUUAAGUCAGGUGUGAAAGUUUUCGGCUCAACCGGAAAAGUGCACUUGAAACUAAUAGACUUGAGUACUGGAGAGGUAAGCGGAAUUCCUAGUGUAGCGGUGAAAUGCGUAGAUAUUGGGAGGAACACCGGUGGCGAAGGCGACUUGCUGGGCAGUAACUGACGCUGAGGCGCGAAGGCCAGGGGAGCAAACGGGAUUAGAUACCCUUGUAGU